CUCUUAUAAUUGUUUUCUUAAUUAGCUCUCUAGUCCUUUAUAUUAUUUCAUUAAUAUUAACUACAAAAUUAACUCAUACAAGCACUAUAGAUGCCCAAGAAGUAGAAACUAUUUGAAUCAUUCUCCCUGCUAUUCUUAUUCUAAUCGCCCUUCCCUCUCUACGUAUUCUAUACAUAAUAGACGAAAUUAAUGACCCAUCCUUAACAGUAAAAACAAUAGGCCACCAAUGAUAUUGAAGCUACGAAUAUACAGACUAUGAAGAUCUUAAUUUUGAUUCUUACAUAAUUCCAACCU
rnacentral:lncRNA from 1 species